GUUUCGCAAUAUUCCAGUUACAUAAAGCUACUUAAAGAAAUACAUCCUUUUGUCAGUAGGAUGUUUGAUAUAGUCAGUCAUAGUCAUAUUUUAUUAAUCCCGGGGGAAUUUGAUAUAAGCAGUAACCCAUCAACUUUGCAAUAAAGCUCCAACACAACACUGAAAAAGCCACAUGUAGUGCCUUUAUUUGUUUGAGACAACUUGAUCCUUGUUAGAUGUUAAUAAAUGGAAAAUGCUCUAACGUCCUGGCAGUUUAAUCAAAGGGACAUUUAUUUUUGGCGACUACUUUGGGUUUAAUCAGCUAAAAGUAUAAACUGUUAGUGCGGAACAAGUAUGGCUCCUGCUGUAUGUUCAUUCAGGAUCAACCAGUGGAAGCUGUGGCAUGCCAAGCAUUAAGUGGUGUGUAGCUGUACAGAACGAAGUCCUUGGACAAAUAAACUCUUCUUUGAACAGUGUGAAAUAGCAAGGACAUGAGCAGGCCAGGUAAAUCUCAACCAAAAAUGAAAUGAGAUGGAACUGCACAAGUCUCUGGGCUUCAACUAGAAGUCACUAAAUGAAACCAUUUAAUUACAUUCAAGCGUGGUUCAACAGAAGGUUUGAGGGAAUAUUUCAGAUUGAAGAUUUUCACAGCCUUACCUUGCCAAACAUGUAGCAAAUGCAGAUUCUGGUACAUGUGGACCCCACACAGGAAGCAAUCCAUUACACUUGGUGUUUGCAUUUUGUAACGCAGCGCUU